rnacentral:rRNA from 1 species
CGGAGGGUGCAAGCGUUAUCCGGAUUCACUGGGUUUAAAGGGAGCGUAGGUGGGUUGGUAAGUCAGUGGUGAAAUCUCCGGGCUUAACUCGGAAACUGCCAUUGAUACUAUCAGUCUUGAAUAUUGUGGAGGUUAGCGGAAUAUGUCAUGUAGCGGUGAAAUGCUUAGAUAUGACAUAGAACACCAAUUGCGAAGGCAGCUGGCUACACAUAUAUUGACACUGAGGCUCGAAAGCGUGGGGAUCAAACAGGAUUAGAUACCCUGGUAGUCCACGCCCUAAACUACUGGAUACUCGACAUACGCGAUAAACUGUGUGUGUCUGAGCGAAAGCAUUAAGUAUCCCACUGGGAAGUACGAUCGCAAGAUUG